CGACGCUGCCAAUGUUCGCCGAGGUAUUUCCAGUCUACGUGACUGAGCGUACGCCGAAUGACAUUACACGGGGUUUCGCGUACAGUCGAGUCACGGAGAGUGGAUCGAUACAAUGAGCUCGGUCAGGUUAGAGCCUGGAGGAUCGGUGCGAAGGAGAAAGAGAGAGAGACCGUCCGCGAGGGAGAGAGUGAGAAAGAGAAAGAAAGAAUGCACUCUCGUAAGGUCGACUCGUGAAUUCACUCGAGUGUACGAGAACGCGGAGGCGUCCGCAGGGCAAUCAACGUUAACUGCAAGCGAUCCUUACGAUCCAUGACGCCAUAUUCUUACGUGAUCGUCGUUUGUCUUUGAGCGAUCGCAUUGCCGCGAUUUGCUGCCGAUCGAUCCGACCGAUCAAUCUCCGAUCGAUCGAAGGACGUAGGAUUACAGCCGGAUGAGAAAAGACACAGAGCAAGGGAGGAGGAAGAGGAGGACGCGGUCUCUGUCGUGUCUGUCGUAUCUGUCGUCCCUGAUGUCCUCCAUCCUGUAUAUCCUCUAUCUCGGACAGCGUGCCGCGGCUUGCGGCCCCAUUGACCAUUCCCAUGUUAAUAUCUGGUUAUGCGUAAAGUAUGGAGGCGUACGGCCAGUUUGCAUAGAAACUAAGGCAUUAACGUGGACCACCCGAGUCGGUCCACUCGUUAAACGAUCCUCUUUGCCGACACCUCGGUCAGGCUUUACCGAUCCAGGCCGUUGCGUUCAGUUUUCAGCCCGUUAUCCGCUCGAACGUUUGGAUUACACCAAAGUACCAGUUGUAAUCCAAACCACUGGCAUCGUCCCGAUUCUCUGGCUCGUUAAACUCUUCGGAAACAGGAUGAGCCGGGGACCGGGGGGUUUAUGUGGCAAGGGACAGUAAUGACGAUGACGUCGAAGAGACGAUCCAGGCACGAUAAGAGGCGCAAGAGCAUCUCCACCCCAAGUCGCGAGUGCUUGGAAUACAAUUUCCAUAGAUCACAAGUAUGUUUUAGAAGAGUGCGGUAAAUAAUUCCACUUGCUGAUUCCAUUAUAAAAAAAUGUCAAGUAUCAAACGGAAGCAUGUAAACAAAGUUAUACGAAAGUCCAUGUAUCAGCUACAUAGGUGUACACCUACCCGGAGGUAGAGUCGGUGCUUCUGACUAAAUAAAAUGGGAGAGUCUCCACGACGACAUAUACUGGUUCGUUA